AUCCAGCUGACGAGUUCCAAAUAGGACGAAAUGCGCAUCCUAGAU
rnacentral:hammerhead_ribozyme from 1 species